CACGUAGGGGGCAAGCGUUGUCCGGAUUUAUUGGGCGUAAAGAGCUCGUAGGUGGUUCGGUAAGUCAGGUGUGAAACCUCCAGGCUCAACCUGGAGACGCCACUUGAUACUGCUGUGACUGGAGUCCGGUAGGGGAGCGUGGAAUUCCUGGUGUAGCGGUGAAAUGCGCAGAUAUCAGGAGGAACACCAGCGGCGAAGGCGGCGCUCUGGGCCGUUACUGACACUGAGGAGCGAAAGCGUGGGUAGCAAACAGG
rnacentral:rRNA from 1 species